UGUGUGUGUGUGUGUGUGUGUGUUUGUGUGUACGUGUAUAUAUGUAUUUAUCUGUCUGUAUGUCUAUCUGUCUGAGUAGGGAACUGGUCUCAGCCGUGUGAUUGGGGGAAAAUUCCACAGGAGAACCUUCUAGGAUAAAAGAGUAAACAUAAACAUGGAUCAUAUAUUCUAUAACACUGGUGCAAUGAUAUUAAGCAUCUUGGGUAUGAUAAUGGCUGUAUGCCACUGGACACAUUUAUUUAUGGGAGAAAACUUCAAUUAGUGGACAUUUCUGAGUCAUAAAUAAUGAUUAUUGUUUUCCUUAUUUUCCUUUUAAAGACAGAGAUGCUGAGGAAGGAAAUAUAACUUCAGGCUUAUUAAUGGCUCCUGGUACAAGGUUCCCUAGUGCUGUACCAGGUUGGUAACUACAGCCAGGACCAUUCAGCCUUGAACUGUCUGAGCCCUGCCUCUAACAGCCUUGGUAGAGAAGAUGCUCACAGCCAAGAAUCCCCUCUGAGGGGUUGACAGCGACGGUCCCUCUUCCCCAAGUUACAUCCUGGUCCGGCUUCCCUUGUGGCACGCUGGUGACGACUGACCUCCCUAUAACCCUGAGCUGGCUGCAAAUCCUGCCCUGAAGGUGGUGGCCCUUGAGGAUCCUCUCCAAACUUCUCUUCAAAGCCUUAAGUGACCACAUAGAUACCGAAGACUAUGGCUCCAUGGAAGAUCUUACAGGCUGCAGAGGAAAGGAGGCAUGGAAACUGAGGGGGAAGGAAGAGUUAAGGAGCUGAGGACACAGCUGGAGCCAACACUACCAUACUGACCUUGCUGUCCCUAAAUGAACCUUGGAGGUCACUACAGCCUUGCAACCACAGGGCAGCUUCAGCUCUGAAGGAUGUGGACACUGUGUGCCGAUCUCCUGCCACAAGGCCUGUGAGCUCUCCUCUCUUGGAGCCCUCCGCACGAGCCCACCUGUGCCGGGUGGUGGUGGGCAAUCUGAUUGAUCUGGCAUGUCUGGGCUGAGGAGGGGAGUUGAACGCUUCUCUCUGGGAGGGAUUUUCAGCUCAUUUCACAGAUGAAAUCAAUCAGACCUAAACCUCAUUCACAGUGGCCACGAGAAGCAAACCGGAACAGUAGGGGGUCAAACGGGAGACUUCCUUGCUCCCUGCCCGUCUGGCUCUACUUUGGCAGUGGGGGCCAGUGGUCCUCGGGCUGUGCGGAAGAAUGGUUGCCUUCAAAGCAGGUGUUGCUGCGGAGACCGGUCUGCUUGCCAGAGAAAUCAGCACCAAACUGGCUCACUGAAGGAAGUCAGGCCUGGAAGAUGGCUUCUCCAGCAAAGGCAGACCCUAA
rnacentral:lncRNA from 1 species